AUAGGCAUAAUUCAGUCGGUAGAAUACUUGGUCAUGUAUCAAGUCGUCACAGGUUCGAGUCCUGUCACCUAUA
rnacentral:tRNA from 1 species